UUGGUGGGUAAUGCCUCCCAAGGGGACGUUGGUACCGGCCUGAGAGGUGAUCGGCCAACUGGGAUUGAACACGGCCCAGAUUCCUACGGGAGGCAGCAGUAGGAAUCUUCCGCAAUGGACGAAAUCUGACGGAGCAACGCCGCGUGAAUGAUGAAGUUUUCGGAUCGUAAAGCUCUGUUGUUAGGAAGAACAAGUGCGAGAGUAACUGCUCGCACCUUGACGGUACCUAACCAGAAAGCCACGGCUAACUACGUGCCAGCAGCCGCGGUAAUACGUAGGUGGCAAGCGUUGUCCGGAAUUAUUGGGCGUAAAGGGCUCGCAGGCGGUUUCUUAAGUCUGAUGUGAAAGCCCCCGGCUCAACCGGGGAGGGUCAUUGGAAACUGGGAAACUUGAGUGCAGAAGAGGAGAGUGGAAUUCCACGUGUAGCGGUGAAAUGCGUAGAGAUGUGGAGGAACACCAGUGGCGAAGGCGACUCUCCGGUCUGUAACUGACGCUGAGGAGCGAAAGCGUGGGGAGCGAACAGGAUUAGAUACCCUGGUAGUCCACGCCGUAAACGAUGAGUGCUAAGUGUUAGGGGGUUUCCGCCCCUUAGUGCUGCAGCUAACGCAUUAAGCACUCCGCCUGGGGAGUACGGUCGCAAGACUGAAACUCAAAGGAAUUGACGGGGGCCCGCACAAGCGGUGGAGCAUGUGGUUUAAUUCGAAGCAACGCGAAGAACCUUACCAGGUCUUGACAUCCUCUGACAACCCUAGAGAUAGGACUUUCCCUUCGGGGACAGAGUGACAGGUGGUGCAUGGUUGUCGUCAGCUCGUGUCGUGAGAUGUUGGGUUAAGUCCCGCAACGAGCGCAACCCUUGAUCUUAGUUGCCAGCAUUCAGUUGGGCACUCUAAGGUGACUGCCGGUGACAAACCGGAGGAAGGUGGGGAUGACGUCAAAUCAUCAUGCCCCUUAUGACCUGGGCUACACACGUGCUACAAUGGACAGAACAAAGGGCUGCAAGACCGCAAGGUUUAGCCAAUCCCAUAAAUCUGUUCUCAGUUCGGAUCGCAGUCUGCAACUCGACUGCGUGAAGCUGGAAUCGCUAGUAAUCGCGGAUCAGCAUGCCGCGGUGAAUACGUUCCCGGGCCUUGUACACACCGCCCGUCACACCACGAGAGUUUGCAACACCCGAAGUCGGUGAGGUAACCUUUAUGGAGCCAG
rnacentral:rRNA from 1 species